GCAUGGCAGACGGGUGAGUAACGCGUAGGGAAUCUACCUUUUUGUGGGGAAUAACGCUCCGAAAGGAGUGGUAAUACCGCAUGAGACCGCAGACUGGGAUGUUUGUGGUGAAACCUGGGGACCGCAAGGCCUGGGGCAAGAAGAGGAUCCUGCGUCUGAUUAGCUAGUUGGCGGGGUAAUGGCCCACCAAGGCGACGAUCAGUAGCCGGCCUGAGAGGGUGAUCGGCCACACUGGAACUGAGACACGGUCCAGACUCCUACGGGAGGCAGCAGUGGGGAAUUUUGCGCAAUGGACGAGAGUCUGACGCAGCAACGCCGCGUGGGUGAUGAAGGUCUUCGGACUGUAAAACCCUGUCGUCAGGGACGAAGGUAUGGGAGUUAAUAGCUCUUAUGCUUGACGGUACCUGGAGAGGAAGCCCCGGCUAACUCUGUGCCAGCAGCCGCGGUAAUACAGAGGGGGCAAGCGUUAUUCGGAAUUAUUGGGCGUAAAGGGCGCGUAGGCGGCUUUUUAAGUGAGAUGUGUAAUCCCUGAGCUCAACUUGGGAACUGCAUCUCAUACUGGGAGGCUAGAGUACUGG
rnacentral:rRNA from 1 species